CCUCUGCAAACUCGUAAAGAGGAUGUAUAGGGGCUGACGCCUGCCCAGUGCCGGAAGGUUAAGGGGAGGGGUGAGGCCGUAAGGCGUAGCUCCGACCCGAAGCCCCGGUAAACGGCGGCCGUAACUAUAACGGUCCUAAGGUAGCUGUGCUGCCUGCCUGCAGGGUAACCUGCAGGGCAAUACCCGGCUGUAUGCGGGAAAACCCUUAGAGCUCUUCCUACUUGGGGAGGUUUUCUCCAAGUAAAAAUGGAAGAGAUUGGGCAAUCCGCAGGAAACCCCGAAAGGGGGAUCCUCAGAGACUGUACGCCGGGCAUCCAGCUUCCCAGCGAGGUGCGGUGUGAUGGAGCUUCAUCCAAAGUGGGUCGUUGGGUUCGUGGAUGGAGAAGGAUGUUUCUAUGUGGGUGUGAACAAGAACGAGGCGAUGAGCUUGGGUUAUCAGGUGUUGCCUGAGUUCAGAGUCGUUCAACACCGGCGAGACAUCCAAGUCCUUUACGCGCUCAAGCGCUUCUUCGGAUGCGGUACGGUCAGAAGAAACCACGAAGACAGAUACGAGCUCAGGAUAAGGAAAUUUGAGUGUCUGAAAAAGGUCGUUGAAUUCUUUCAAAAUCAUCCACUCAAGACGAAGAAGAACGUCGAUUUCAAGAAAUUCAGCAAGAUCAUCAAGAUGAUGGAUGAAGGAAAGCACCUCACGAGGGAAGGGCUGAUCGAGAUCGUGCAGAUAGCUCUCGAAAUGAACACGGGAAAACAUGAGCAGCUGAAGCAGAUCUUGUGCGAAUUGACUGGGAAGGCUGGAUGAAGAUACAGUCCACCCUUGGUUCGAAAGACCAAGAUGAUGGUGAGCGAAAUACCUUGUCGGGUAAGUUCCGACCUGCAUGAAUGGCGUAACGACUGGGGCGCUGUCUCGGCGAGGGACCCGGUGAAAUUUCAGUGAGGGUGAAGAUGCCCUCAACCUGCGGCUAGACGGAAAGACCCCGUGGAGCUUCACUGCAGCCUGGUAUUGGAUUCUGGCACACCGUGUACAGGAUAGGUGGGAGGCUGUGAACCCGGCUCGCCAGGGUCGGGGGAGCCACCGGUGGGAUACCACCCUCGGUGUGUCGGAAUUCUAACCUGAACCUGUGAAGAGCAGGUUGGGGACAGUGCCAGGUGGGCAGUUUGACUGGGGCGGUCGCCUCCUAAAAAGUAACGGAGGCGCGCGAAGGUCGGCUCAGGUGGGUUGGAAAUCCACCGUUGAGUGCAAGGGCAUAAGCCGGCCUGACUGUGAGGCCGACGGGCCGAGCAGAGGGGAAACCCGGCCCUAGUGACCCGACGACUCCGGGUGGAAGGGUCGUCGACAACGGACAAAAGUUACCCCGGGGAUAACAGGCUAGUCUCGCCCGAGAGUUCACAUCGACGGCGAGGAUCGGCACCUCGAUGUCGGCUCAUCCCAUCCUGGGGCUGAAGCAGGUCCCAAGGGUUAGGCUGUCCGCCUAUUAAAGGGGUACGUGAGCUGGGUUCAGACCGUCGCAAGACAGGUCGGUCCCUAUCGGCCGCAGGCGCAGGAGGUUUGAGGGGGGUCACCCCUUGUACGAGAGGACCGGGGUGAGCGGGCCUCUGGUGUACCGGCUGUCCUGCCAAGGGCAUUCGCCGGGUAGCUAUGCCCGUAAGCGAUAACCGCUGAAGGCAUCUAAGCGGGAAGCGCGCCCUAAGAUUAGACCUCCCAUCCCGUUAAGGGAGUAAGGCCGGUCCGAGAACAGGACCUUGAUAGGCCGGUGGUGUAAGCGCCGCAAGGCGUUGAGCCAACCGGUACUAAUCGGCCGAGGCCUUGACC
rnacentral:rRNA from 2 species